UCAGGACGAACGCUGGCGGCGUGCUUAACACAUGCAAGUCGAGCGGUAAGGCCCUUCGGGGUACACGAGCGGCGAACGGGUGAGUAACACGUGGGCAACCUGCCCUGCACUCUGGGAUAAGCCCGGGAAACUGGGUCUAAUACCGGAUAUGACCUCCUACCGCAUGGUGGGUGGUGGAAAGUUCCGGCGGUGCAGGAUGGGCCCGCGGCCUAUCAGCUUGUUGGUGGGGUAGUGGCCUACCAAGGCGACGACGGGUAGCCGGCCUGAGAGGGCGACCGGCCACACUGGGACUGAGACACGGCCCAGACUCCUACGGGAGGCAGCAGUGGGGAAUAUUGCGCAAUGGGCGAAAGCCUGACGCAGCGACGCCGCGUGAGGGAUGACGGCCUUCGGGUUGUAAACCUCUUUCAGCAGGGACGAAGCGUGAGUGACGGUACCUGCAGAAGAAGCACCGGCUAACUACGUGCCAGCAGCCGCGGUAAUACGUAGGGUGCGAGCGUUGUCCGGAAUUAUUGGGCGUAAAGAGCUCGUAGGCGGUUUGUCGCGUCGACUGUGAAAACCUACAGCUUAACUGUGGGCUUGCAGUCGAUACGGGCAGACUUGAGUUCGGUAGGGGAGACUGGAAUUCCUGGUGUAGCGGUGAAAUGCGCAGAUAUCAGGAGGAACACCGGUGGCGAAGGCGGGUCUCUGGGCCGAUACUGAC
rnacentral:rRNA from 1 species